CCACUCUGAACCACAGUCCCCCUCCCUAUCCUCCCACCGGCAACGUGGCAACGCUCGAUGUGUUUCUGUUUUUUUUCUUCUCAUCUUUCACGAUCCGAGGAGACGGAUUUCCACGUAUUCAAGAAAGCAGCGAGUAAUGUGUGUACUUAUUUAUUAUAUUUAGCCUGAGGACUGAUUCCAUCUUUUCCUGCUGAUGUCGGACUGCAGCUGUCAAACUCCUCAGGGCGGGCGCCUGUGUUUACUUUCAGAGAGGAGAGUGAGAGUGAGAGAGAGCGAGACAGAGAGAGAGAGAGAGAGAGAGAGAGAGAGAGAGAGAGAGAGAGAGAGAGAGAGAGAAAGAGAGAAAGAGAAAGAGAAAGAGAGGUCACACACAGGCUGGAUACACACUGCAAACAUAACGGACAUGGAGAAGCACUGUGCACACAUUCAGACUCUUAAUGGUGCAGAUUUUUCAUCACUUUAUUUUCUGUUACUUGUAUAAUUUACAGUCUGAUUUGAGCUGGUGUCUCUGCAGUAACAACGCCUGCUUAUGGAUCACAGUCUUCGGUGAACUUUAUCCUCUUCUUAUCAAGCUGACUUGUUAUCAGCUCAUGGUGAGCUCCCAGUGAAAUGAUGUGGCAGUUGCAGCUGAACUUUGGCUGCGUCUGAGCUGUGUUCCAGCAGCAGGAGUAAACCCAUCAUGGAUCACAGAGGUCACCCCUGGCCUGACCCCGGCCAUCAGUACUCCCACAGGACUAAAGACAGAGAGGACUACAGCAGGUACCCCCAGCAGGAGUGGGACCAGAGCUGUCCACCUCCAGACCCCAGAGAGAGGGACAGACCCUGGGCUCAGCCUGAUGCCCGCUACAGGCCUCACUACGCCAGUCCUCCUGCCAGACCUGAGCAGUAUCCCUACAACUACCAGCAGUAUCCCCACGGCCAAGGGCGAGCAGACCACCAAAGACCCCAGUCCAGACAUGGGUACGACUAUCCACCACACAGCCAGUGGGACUACAGAGACAGCUACGGUUAUUACGAUCAGGACUACUACAGAGGACAGCAUGGUCGACAAGAUGCCGCCCAGCGGACUCCCCAAGAAUCACGGAGAGCAGACGGUUAUCAUGACAGAAACUACAAGCAGGAACACUCAGGGAGCUCCUACUUAGAGGAGAACAGGUAUGACCACUUGAGAGACAACUCCCAGCAUCACAUCAAUAACUAUGAAGAAACUCCUUCCAGGGAGAAUGAAGAAGUUUCCUCUUAUCACCUGGGGACAUUAGAAAGUUCUAAAACCUCAGGGUUGUCUUCCAGCAGCUAUGAACUGAGUCAAUACAUUGAUGGAAGUGAACACAGCGACUCUGUGCCACCGACUGUUCACCCCUCUGAUGCAGACCAUGGACCCGUACAUCAGACGUCAGCUCCUCUGAAGUACUCGGUCCCUCACGCUGUGGUCAGCUUCGGACCUGCAGGGCAGCUGAUUCGAGUCACUCCAGGCUUCUCCACACAGAAGAACGUCAGUCAGCUGGAAAUCCACAGCCUGGAAGUUAUUCUGAGUGAGACACAGGAACAGCAGGAGAUGAGAAACUUCCCUGGUCCCUUAACUAGGGAAGAUCUGCACAAAGUAGAUGCUAUGGAGUUUGCCCAGCAGGAGGCAGGAGCCUGCAUUAGCGACGAAAAGCUGCAGGACAAGAGCUCUGCUGCCCUCCUGUGGAAUCUGCUGAUACUGCUCUGCAGACAGAAUGGACAAAUAGUGGGAUCAGAUAUUGCAGAGCUGCUGAUGCAGGGCUCACGUUCAGAUGGAAGCUGGGAGCCAGAAGCCCCCACGCUCAUUGACUUCAGUGAGGGCGCGGCCGCAGAAGCGCCACCUCAAACAGGAGAUGACCUGCUCACGGGAACCUGCAGCUUCAGCUCUGAGACCUCGGAGAAGGCCCUGUACAGCUACACUGAGCUGCUGCUGGCUGGAAGAAAGAAGGAGGCCUUGGAGUCAGCUAUGAGCAGCGGCCUGUGGGGGCAUGCACUUUUUCUGGCCAGCAAAAUGGACAGCAGGUCCUACACCGGCGUGCUGAACAGGUUUACAGGCCAGCUAACGGCCAGUGAUCCCCUCCAGACUCUCUUCCAGCUGCUGUCUGGGAGAAUCCCUGCUGUUGCCACGUGCUGUGGAAAUGAAAAACUAGGAGACUGGAGGCCGCAUCUGGCCGUCAUGCUCUCCAAUGAGACGGGAGAUCCUGCUGUCCAGCGGAAGGCCAUCAUCACCACGGGAGACACACUGGCUUCCAGACGCCUCCUGCACGCCGCCCACGUGUGCUACCUGACAGCCGGCGUUCCCUUUGGGGCGUUCACACAGAAGGCAGAGAGACUGGUGCUUCUGGGCAGCAGCCACAGGCAACCUUUCGAAUACUUUGCCACAAACUCUGCCAUCCAGUGCACCGAGUUGUACGAAUAUUGCCAGACACUUGGAGAAAAAAGUUUUUCAAUACCGUCCUUUCAGGUGUAUAAGUUCCUCUAUGCCAGUCGACUGCUGGAUUGUGGACUUGCCUCUCAGGCCUUCCAUUACUGUGAGGUGGUUGGCCAAGCAAUCCUCCCACAGAGGGAGCCUCUCUUUGUGCUGACUGGAGAGGUUGUUAAGCUGGCAGACAGACUGAGACACACUGAGGGUCAGUUCAGUGAGGGAGGUGUUAGUGCAGCUGGGCAGGAACCUGAUUGGCUGAGACAGCUGCGUGCUAGGCACCACAGCUUACAGACUGGGAGUUACGACUGCACUGAAACAUACCAGCCAGAACCUGAGGUAUGUGCUUUGGCCCAUGAGGAUAGCAAAGUGUACUCAGAAUUGGACGACCUAAGCCGUGACAUCCUGAGUCCUGAGCCUGAACUCCUUUACUACAGAGGCAAUGAGGAUCAAGAAAGCCUCCUGAAUCAAACUGAAGCAAACACUGAGGAAAUGUUAUCAUCAAACAUCACAGGAGCUCAGCACUGGCCAGGAGCCAGUCCUCCGCUUCCAGUCACUGUGGUUUAUGCUCCCCCACUGUCCAAAGUGGCCCAGAGUCAAGACUUCAGUGAUCAUAACACAGAUAGUGCUGAAGUCAGAAGUGCCUCGACACAUUGUCCACCGAGUGAUGUGCCUUCAGCAGGAGGGGGGGCCUGGUCUUUCUCUGGAACAGACAUGAUGCUGGAGGCUGACAUCAGUCACCAGGGAUAUGACCAGCAGAGCACCCCAGAACGUUUCAAGCCCUCUGAGCAGAUGAACCAGCCCCCGGAACAGGGUGCCAAGGUGGGGUGGUUCAGUGGCUGGUUCAAAUCCAAACCCAAAGAUGUCCAAAGGGAGAGUUCAGAGCAGAGGAGCACAGCUCAGAUGGAUCUACCACCCACCACUGGCAUCUGUCGUCCUCCACCUGCUGCGAUGGUCUCUCUUAACACGUUUCCAUCCCAGCCCUCUUCUGCUGCGAUCAAUCCCUUCUCAAGGAAAGCAGGUGAGAUAUGUGAACCCAUUCUUUGUCAAUUAUCACCUUUAAAAAAAAAAAUCAACUAUGCAUGCCAUAAAUAAAUAAUGCCAAGCUCCACAUUCUUCUCUGAUGUGGGAUUUCUGAGGUCACUGACCUGAAGCUGUGUCCCUCCUCUGUCGCUGCCAUUAACACAUUUGCUGACCAGCAUGUUCAGUGCAUAUUUUUAGGAUUUAAAUUGAAAGAAAUCUAGAGGUUUGGCUGCCAUUACAUUUUACCUUCAUUAAAAUUUUUUAAUUUGAUUUGAUUUUUUUAUAAAUAAGUUUGACACAACAGGUCAGCAGCUGCGGUAGGAACCAUGUGAAGACCACUAUUCUACAUCUCAGGUGCAGUGACUGCAGAGGGAGGCUCUCACACCUCAUCAGUGCCUAUAAGUCUCAUAAGAGAAUUACCUGAGUUCAGAAGAACAGCAACAAAGUCAAUUCC